UAUGUCUGAAGUAUAAUUCUGUAAACACACGCUUUUAUCAAGACUUCCUGCCUAAGAUGCAGUAAACUCGAUUAACCAUGUAGAAUUUUUAGGACCGAUUCAAAUCUAACAGUGAAAACUAAGUACAUGUUUAUUUUCUUUGUUCCAGGACAAGUUUUUGUUUUGUUUACCAAUGAUUAUGUAUCUUUUCCUUUGAAAUGCAUUCUGAGGCAGGCGCCUUGGGAGUUGCUAUAAAAGGUACCUGAAUUCGGCUGUUAAAGGAGACCCAAAUUAAGAGUGUAACAUGUGUCCACGUGGAGUGAGCAUGGAGAGAUCCCGUCCAAACUUCUCUCAUGCUGCUGGAGUACUGGUAGGAAAAUGGACAAGACAUAAUGGACUGGAAAGAACAGUGGCGGUUCAGAAUCAGCCUGAACAAGAAUUGUUCCACUGCACCAGAGUACAGAGAGGAAUGAAAUACACCUUCACUCUACAUUUUCACACCUUCACAUUUCAAAUUCAUUCCAUGUUUGCUUCAUGCAUUAUAUCAUCCUGUCAAAUAAAGGGAAUGUUGUACAUGCACUCUGGUUUAUUUUUACAGUAGUAAAUGUUGUACAU